CAAAUGCAAACAACACGUGGGUGCUGGCACACGUCCAGUGGUAUACCAUGGAGGUAGAGCCAUGUCAGCACACGGUGGUCGCUAAAUCCGUUUAUUUUUGCGACUUUGUGCAUCAUAUCAAGACAACACGUGAGAAAUUAGUGUCUGAGGAAUCGCUGGCACACUUACGUCAAAGAGGUUUGGCGGUGAUGCAUGAGGAGAGUCGAGGAAACAUCGAAGAGUGGCAUGUUAGAGACUCAACUUCAUUAGGGCCAGGCUAGUGGACUAUUCCUCUGAACACAUGGCCCUACUCCUAAACUAGAAACAAGUGGAGGAAGGCUUAAACUUUGGGAUAAAACUCCCCGGCCGCGAACGGUAUCAGCCACAUACAGGUAUUUCUCAGUUGCCUCUUUAAUUCACCCAGCAGUUUAUCAUGUUCAAUUUGCCCAAAUGGCAAAUUCCUGACCAUCAUGCCUGUUGGUGAAUUAUUUGUGAUCUCGAUAACCAUGAUUUUGUUACAACUGUGAUUUGCUCGAGAUCUUCACUGGCAGUGAACAUGUACAGCUCCAGACACCAGCAGUUGUGGUAAUCUCUGACAACGUUAAUUACUGCACACCACAUGAGACAACAUAUCGUACAAGAUGGCAUUUCAGGCAAUUCAUGGUGGAAGACAGCAAUAGGUGGAAAGUCUUGCAGUAGCACCAUGCGAAGGAAAAUAUCUCUUAUGAGUAUGUGUGGUUCUGAAAGGAACCACGAGUAUACUCAAUUUUUUGGCCUGUGUGCACUGUCCGUUGUCAGGAGACUGCAGAGAUGCUGAAGAUGGAGCUGUUUAUAUAAGGUUUGCUUUGAAAUAGAAUGCACCCUAUGCACCUGCAUUGCAUUGGCACACUAUGAUGCUGGACACCACUCCUGCAUACACACCUAGCAGCUGGCAAUCAGAUCAAGCCCCUUAUUGUGACACUAUCUGCUCUUGGAACAUUGAUGGAGGUCCAAGCAAGACGGUCAGAUUGUGGAAUCAAAGAGAAGUUUAAUUCAAGGGGUUAAAGGGUUACAGAAAGAGAAAACAUUUAGUUCGCAGGAAGUAUUUCAAAAUAUUCCAAACAAUUAAUGGGGUAAACAUUUAAUUUCUGAUGUUUUGGAAAUGGUUAUGUAUUCAUUGUUAGUUUGAAAUAUUUCACGUGAACUGAAUGUUUUUUAUUUCUGUAACCCUUAAAAAAAUGGUGAAAACUGCAUGUAUCACUUUGCAAGGACUGACCUUAACCCUAACCUCGCCAGAUGCAGCAUACUGCAGCACAUGUAAAAGUCUGAUGCACUAUAGCCUUGUUCCCAUUGGACUUUAUCUUCUGUGGGCUCGCGGAAACUUACUGUGACAUUCCUUCAUGUCAGUCUACCGCACAUUGCCAUGUGGACUGUUUUUAACCCAAAGGAAUGUUUGUUCUCUGUGUUAGGCCUAAUAAGACCAGCUGAUUACAUUGCCUGCACUGUACAAAUCAUGUUGAAAUUGGCAAAAUCUGACAAAAACAAAGAUAAAAUCAGAGGAAUUUGGCCAAAUCUGCCACAAAGACAACAAACUCGUACGGGAAAAGCCCCGUACGUCAUGUGUGUACAGCUUUAUCCGGACACGCUUCACUGUGUGUGCGCAGCAUGCUGCUGUACUGUUCACACGGAGCUGGAGACUCGGAACCAUACAACCAUUUACUCUGUGUAUAUGUUUAGCGUGGUCACAGUCAAUCUACACUGUAUAGGAACUGUUCCUAUUGGACUUUUUUGCACCUUGCUAACUUACCGUGGCUGCGUGGAAAUCUUCUGCGCCCCUUUUUGGCCCGUUAGUUUUACAUCGCGAUUGCAGUAAGUUGACAGGGACAUUGGUUUACCGUUUGUUCCCAUUUAAUUUUGUAAUUCUACAGGAAAGUCACGGUAAGUUAACCACAAAAGUCCAAUGGGCACACGCUUUUUGAUGCACUGGACAAUCAACAGCUGCCAAACAAACUGGUCAUGUUGAGACAAUGGGAGCUAGUCUCACUGAACACUGCCACUCACGGUUAGAUCUUGUGGUGACUGACAACCACAGACGCCCAGGCUGUUUGGCCUUGGGGAGAGCUGACCUGUAGGAUCUUG
rnacentral:lncRNA from 1 species